rnacentral:sRNA from 1 species
AGAAAAAAAGAUGGGAUACUACACUGUCACGUUGUCUGUGGGGAAAGGAAAUUUGGUGAGUGGAGCUAUGGCAAUGUAUAAAGGCUACAAAACAUGGUCAAGUGACAGGGAUAACUCUGCCGUCACGUCUAUAUCCAAAAUUGGUGCUGGACAACAAUUCUACAUCGGC